rnacentral:rRNA from 1 species
GAUGAACGCUGGCGGCAUGCCUAAUACAUGCAAGUCGAACGAGAGGAAGGAAAGCUUGCUUUCCUGAAUCUAGUGGCGAACGGGUGAGUAACACGUAGGUAACCUGCCCAUGUGCCCGGGAUAACUUCUGGAAGCGGAUGCUAAAACCGGAUAGGUAGCAGACAAGCAUUUGACUGCUAUUAAAGUGGCCUUGGCCAUGAACAUGGAUGGACCUGCGGUGCAUUAGCUAGUUGGUGAGGUAACGGCCCACCAAGGCGACGAUGCAUAGCCGGCCUGAGAGGGCGGACGGCCACAUUGGGACUGAGACACGGCCCAAACUCCUACGGGAGGCAGCAGUAGGGAAUUUUCGUCAAUGGGGGGAACCCUGAACGAGCAAUGCCGCGUGAGUGAGGAAGGUCUUCGGAUCGUAAAGCUCUGUUGUAAGAGAAAAACGGCACUCAUAGGGAAUGAUGAGUGAGUGAUGGUAUCUUACCAGAAAGUCACGGCUAACUACGUGCCAGCCGCCGCGGUAACAC